AGCGUCAAAUUGAACUUAUGUCCAGCUGUCAUCGUUUUCAGGACCACGUCAGACAAACAAUAUUUGCGUAUCAUACAGCUAGUGUUGAAUGAUGAUCUUAAUCCAGCUGAAAAAUCAAGACUACAGAGUUAUAAAAAUGAAGCCGUGGGUAGCGUCAUUCAACGUUAAUAACAGUAUAAAUAAAUAGAAAAUAAUAUCGAGCCGGUCAUGAUCCCUGUUGUCAGUACUUUACCUGAUAGCCAAGCAGCUCAAUCGAG